AGCGAACGCUGGCGGCGUGCUUAACACAUGCAAGUCGAGUGCGCGUUUCGUAGCAAUACGGGAUGGCGCACGGCGCACGGGUGAGGAACACGUGGGCAACAUGCCCUCUGAUGGGGAAUAACCCCGCGAAAGCGGGGCUAAUACCGCAUAAGAUUCCGGGGACCUCGGUCCCUGGACUGAAAGCCCGCAAGGCGUCGGAGGAGUGGCCCGCGGCCGAUUAGCUUGUUGGCGGGGAACGGCCCACCAAGGCAAUGAUCGGUAGCCGGUCUGAGAGGAUGAUCGGCCACACUGGAACUGAGACACGGUCCAGACUCCUACGGGAGGCAGCAGU
rnacentral:rRNA from 1 species